rnacentral:lncRNA from 1 species
CUUUCAUAUCACCAUCAUUAACAAUCAAGAAUUUAGCAAAGUCUAAUAAAUCUGGGAUGGUAGGAAAAUGUAUGGGAGAAAUAAUAUGUAGGAGACCGCAGCGAAUAAAAAGGUCUCAGGGUUCAUCCAUGACGAAUUUCACAUGUGGCCAGUUAAAUAUGUCUGACUAAGGAAUUAAAUGCCACGUCAGUAAAUCCCAAACAUGGCUCUGUGAGCAUGCAUUGAAAUCGUGAGAAGAAACCCUCAUUUCCAACACGACUUCCAUUUCUUGCAGAAAUCACAACAGCUUCGAAAUCUAAAAUUCCCAAAAUGGCCGUGAACCCUGACCCCCAAAUCGAAUUCGAUCCACAAUCAACAGACCGAAAAGCGUGAUUGUCCGUGGUGCAAGUAUCGUUGUUGCUGAAAGCACCAAAUUUCUGGUGGCCAGUUUCAGAAUUUAAUGGACUUCAGCUCUCUUCUGGGUCAAGUGGAGGGCAAUUCACAGAUUUUUCUCAAUGGUCUGAGCCCAAAUUGUUCAAAAUGCAGUCAAGAGAAUUGGUUAGUGAACAAGAUCCGUGUUCAGUUCAUAAUAUGGACGGUAAUGGAGGCGGACCAUCGUUUAAAAAAAAUUAGUGACUGAGAAAAUUGAUCUUGAAGAAAUGGAUUUUGAAUUCCUCACCUACAACUGCCAAUGAGCCUUCCAGAUCAAGAGCAGAUGCAAGGAUACAUGCUAGGAGCUCAGGACAUUGAAGCCUUCUGUCGAAUUUUUGAAGUCAGUCUGAACCUUAAAUUAGAGUGUAGAUGGUGAUUUUUAGGUUGUUUUUUUUUUAUUUUUGAUGUCGACACUGUUUUUGUGGCGUCACUAAAGUGGGGUCAAUUAAAUAAUGUAAUCUGACAUUUUUGGGCCAAUUAAAUCAGCUUGAGGCGUUCUAAAUUUUUGCUGGUUUCUUGUAUUUGAUCUUGCAUCAAUCAUCUAAAUUUGUGCUGAUUUUGUGUUGGUUUGAUGUUGUCCGCAGAAAAUUUUGGGCAGUAUCAGGUGUUAUGCUUUGUGGUGCAUCACUUUUGUGAUUACCGCUAUAUCAAUUUUGCAGUGCAU